rnacentral:rRNA from 1 species
ACGGAAGGCAGCAGUGGGGGAUAUUGCACAAUGGGGGAAACCCUGAUGCAGCGACGCCGCGUGAGUGAAGAAGUAUUUCGGUAUGUAAAGCUCUAUCAGCAGGAAAGAUAAUGACGGUACCUGACUAAGAAGCACCGGCUAAAUACGUGCCAGCAGCCGCGGUAAUACGUAUGGUGCAAGCGUUAUCCGGAUUUACUGGGUGUAAAGGGAGCGUAGACGGCAUGGCAAGCCAGAUGUGAAAGGCAGGGGCUCAACUCCUGGACUGCAUUUGGAACUGUCAAGCUAGAGUAUCGGAGAGGUAAGUGGAAUUCCUAGUGUAGCGGUGAAAUGCGUAGAUAUUAGGAGGAACACCAGUGGCGAAGGCGGCUUACUGGACUGUAACUGACGUUGAGGCUCGAAAGCGUGGGGAGCAAACAGGAUUAGAUACCCUGGUA